rnacentral:lncRNA from 1 species
AGGUUCCAAACACCAACUGGAAAAGGGAAACGAAGCAGAACGAGAUUUUGCAGAAAUCCAAGACCAAACCUUAGCUUGCAUCAAAGCGCACACUUCAGACGCGUCAGCCACCCCCUGUUGAAAAUUAUAAAAUUCAUGUGGUUCCAAAUUUCUCCCACCAUCUCAACCUAGAUAGAUCUCCACACAUCAUUAAUCAUCUCAGAAGACUGACUCAUCCUGAAUUGAACAAAGUUUGACAAAGGAUCUCUGUGGUACACAA